rnacentral:rRNA from 1 species
UACAGAGGUCUCAAGCGUUGUUCGGAUCCAUUGGGCGUAAAGGGUGCGUAGGCGGCGCGGUAAGUCGGGUGUGAAAUCUCGGGGCUUAACUCCGAAACUGCAUUCGAUACUGCGGUGCUUGAGGACUGGAGAGGAGACUGGAAUUCAUGGUGUAGCAGUGAAAUGCGUAGAGAUCAUGAGGAAGACCAGUGGCGAAGGCGGGUCUCUGGACAGUUCCUGACACUGAGACACGAAGGCCAGGGGAGCAAACGGG